rfam:Oesophagostomum dentatum strain OD-Hann O_dentatum-1.0_Cont785374.1, whole genome shotgun sequence.
GUUGGCUAUGGUGACAUGACUCCACACACCUCCUUUGGAAGACUUGUUGGAUCGCUCUGCGCUGUUAUGGGUGUACUUACAAUUGCACUCCCGGUUCCAGUAAGUUUUACAU